rnacentral:misc_RNA from 1 species
UCUCCGUUGGUGAACCAGCGGAGGGAUCAUUACCGAGUUCACAUCUCCCAAACCCCUGUGAACAUACCAUUUGUUGCCUCGGCGGUGCCUGCUUCGGCAGCCCGCCAGAGGACCCAAACCCUUGAUUUUAUACAGUAUCUUCUGAGUAAAUGAUUAAAUAAAUCAAAACUUUCAACAACGGAUCUCUUGGUUCUG